rnacentral:rRNA from 1 species
GGCGAACGGGUGAGUAACGCGUGAGUAACCUGCCCUGGAGUGGGGGACAACAGUUGGAAACGACUGCUAAUACCGCAUAAGCCCACGGUCUGGCAUCGGGCUGAGGGAAAAGGAUUUAUUCGCUUCAGGAUGGACUCGCGUCCAAUUAGCUAGUUGGUGAGGUAACGGCCCACCAAGGCGACGAUUGGUAGCCGGACUGAGAGGUUGAACGGCCACAUUGGGACUGAGACACGGCCCAG